CCUCGCACGUGACCCGUCGGAUCUUCCUUGCGACGAAUCUCGGUCGUCCGUUUUUCUUCACUGUGACAUAUAAAAGCGGCAGCUCAAGUUAGAAACCCUAGCCGCCGCUGCCCAAUCCCCUCACGCUUCGCCUCCUCUCCCAAUCCCACCACGUCUCUCCUGCUCCUCCCUCCUCUCCCUUGGCAAGAAGACGAAGGGGGAUCGGGAAACCCUAGCCGCCGGCCCCCAAUCGUCGCACGUCCUCUCUCCCCAAUCCCGUCGUCCUCCACUCCUCCCAAUCCCGUCUCCCAGUUGUCCUCCUCAAUCCCGUUGCUGCUCUCCCGUUACCACUUCCCUGGCUUUCUCUUCUUCUCAUCCGUGAGCCUGUACGUGGUGGUGGAGAUGCACAAGGCGUCGGUGCUGGAGAUCGAGCCGCCGCCAACACCACAUCUCCCCGGGCGAGCUCCUCGAUGCCUCAACAGGGUUUGAUUAGGCCGAUAUGGGCAGGGACAGGUGCAGCGGGCGGCGGCCGCAGGUGGACGAUGGUAGCCGCCGUUGGUGGACGCACGAUGGCAGAGGUGAAAUCGAGCGCAGACCACGGACACAGCUUGGGGUUUGGGCGGCAACGCCCAUCGAGCGACGAUGAGCACGGCUGAAUGAGGCCAACGACCACGGGAUUAGAUUGGUUCUUGGGCAGCGACCCAUGAUUUGGGCGGCAGUUCGAUGACGAGCACGGCUAGAGGAGGAGAAGAUGACCACUGGCGAUGGAAUUGCAAUCGUUGCUCUGCUGAUGUUCACCUCCUUCCUAAACCCUUGCAUGUGACUUACGGCUCAUCGCUUGCUUCUCAUUUCAUUUACUGUGCCGUUGUCGAUGAUCAGUUCACUCUUCACUGAUUUAAGCAGAUGCCGUGGAGUUUGGUUCUUUGGCUCCCUCGGCCCCAAGCACUGUUUGCCUAAGGUUCCAACCUCUUGCACAGUUUAGUCUGCUGUAAUCUUGCUCUCUUGCUCUGUUGGUUGUUUUUGUUCUUCUAAGUAAAUGUAUAUAUCGUAUCAAUCAUUGUGUGGUGGCAUGUCAAUUUAGCUUAUUAUUUGAUCGAGCUCGGCCUCCUUUGCACCCACUUCAUCAUGCACAAUGCCUCAUUGGCCAUUCGGUUUGUGGUGUCUACCAAUUGUAUGAUCCAGAAAGUAAUGGAAUAUUAAGCUAUUGGUGGAUGGCCUUCUCAAUCCUUCAGGUUUCUACAUACUAUUUAUAGUGUCAUUAAGCAUGUGACCUCGCCGCCGACCACCAGACGCCCACACCCGACGCAGCAGCCAAAACCAGCACCACACUCUGCUGCAAACAACUGCCGGAGCACCAGAUCGGGACCGGAGCCGUCAAAGAUCUGGUCCCCAGCCACCACGCCGUCGAGGAGCCGCGCCAUGGGCCCGCAAGGCCCAGAUCGGCCGGCCGCAGCGACCCCGACACCUCCACCGCGCCAGGGAUGAGGGAUCCCUGGCCGCCAGCGCGCUUGCGCGACAACGCGCAGAACCGGAGCAGGGCCUCGCGCCACCACGCAAGGUCCACGGCCCGCGCGGCCCAGAUCCGGGCCCGCGCCGCCGGCGCAGGAAGAACGCGGCGCGCCCGCGCUGCCGACCCCGUCGCCCAGCCCAAAGCCCCCGCCACUACGCCGACGCCCGCCCGAGGCCACGCACCACCACCGCAGGCCGCAGCCGCCGCAUCCCGAGUCUGCUCCCCCGGUGCCGGAGUGAAGUCGCCCGCUCGCUUGAGCGCGACCGCGACCGGACGCUCGCUUGAGCGCCGCCGGCAGCAACCGCGCGCGACGGGCGGCGAACAGCAGGAGGCGGCCGAGGGCGCGACGCCACGGCGAGAGGCGCAGGACGGCGACGACCUCCGGGUCCGGCGUGACGUCUUCCCUCCGAGGCGGCCGCGCGAGAUCCCGAGAGGCAUAGAACCUCGCCGCCCCCUUCAUCGGCGGCGGACGGCUUCGCCGCCGGCUGCCUCGGGAGACGACGAGGGAGAGGGCCGGGGUCUAGGUGGCGGUGGCAGGAGGGCUAGGUUUUGGCUCCCCUGUCGCCUGGAGGAGGCGACCGAGGGGAGCGAGGGGCGUCCGGCCGCCCUAGACGUUGUUUAUCUCCAAUUUGCCCCUUUCAGAUCGUUGCACCUAUAUUUUGCUCCAUGCAACGGUUGGUUAACGUUAACUUCUGUGUUGUUUUUGCAUAUAACUUCUACCCCUAUUAUUUACAGCAUUAUGUGCAUAACGCAGCCUGGCUUUAUUUUCGCAUAGAAAACUUAUGUACCUAAAACAUUAUUUAUGUUAUGGAUGUAUGUUAUGUCUCA